GCCUAGGUGGCUCAGUCGGUUAAGCACCUGAGUUUGGCUCAGGUCACGAUCUCACAGUUUGUGGGUUCAAGCCCCAUACUGGGCU
rnacentral:tRNA from 1 species